AGUCGAACGCUUUGUGGUUCAACUGAUUUGAAGAGCUUGCUCAGAUAUGACGAUGGACAUUGCAAAGAGUGGCGAACGGGUGAGUAACACGUGGGAAACCUACCUCUUAGCAGGGGAUAACAUUUGGAAACAGAUGCUAAUACCGUAUAACAAUGACAACCGCAUGGUUGUUAUUUAAAAGAUGGUUCUGCUAUCACUAAGAGAUGGUCCCGCGGUGCAUUAGCUAGUUGGUAAGGUAAUGGCUUACCAAGGCGAUGAUGCAUAGCCGAGUUGAGAGACUGAUCGGCCACAAUGGGACUGAGACACGGCCCAUACUCCUACGGGAGGCAGCAGUAGGGAAUCUUCCACAAUGGGCGAAAGCCUGAUGGAGCAACGCCGCGUGUGUGAUGAAGGGUUUCGGCUCGUAAAACACUGUUGUAAGAGAAGAAUGACAUUGAGAGUAACUGUUCAAUGUGUGACGGUAUCUUACCAGAAAGGAACGGCUAAAUACGUGCCAGCAGCCGCGGUAAUACGUAUGUUCCAAGCGUUAUCCGGAUUUAUUGGGCGUAAAGCGAGCGCAGACGGUUAUUUAAGUCUGAAGUGAAAGCCCUCAGCUCAACUGAGGAAUUGCUUUGGAAACUGGAUGACUUGAGUGCAGUAGAGGAAAGUGGAACUCCAUGUGUAGCGGUGAAAUGCGUAGAUAUAUGGAAGAACACCAGUGGCGAAAGCGGCUUUCUGGACUGUAACUGACGUUGAGGCUCGAAAGUGUGGGUAGCAAACAGGAUUAGAUACCCUGGUAGUCCACACCG
rnacentral:rRNA from 1 species